rnacentral:rRNA from 1 species
GAUGAACGCUGGCGGCGUGCCUAAUACAUGCAAGUCGAGCGAACAGACGAGGAGCUUGCUCCUCUGACGUUAGCGGCGGACGGGUGAGUAACACGUGGAUAACCUACCUAUAAGACUGGGAUAACUUCGGGAAACCGGAGCUAAUACGGGAUAAUAUAUUGAACCGCAUGGUUCAAUAGUGAAAGACGGUUUUGCUGUCACUUAUAGAUGGAUCCGCGCCGCAUUAGCUAGUUGGUAAGGUAACGGCUUACCAAGGCAACGAUGCGUAGCCGACCUGAGAGGGUGAUCGGCCACACUGGAACUGAGACACGGUCCAGACUCCUACGGGAGGCAGCAGUAGGGAAUCUUCCGCAAUGGGCGAAAGCUUGACGGAGCAACGCCGCGUGAGUGAUGAAGGUCUUCGGAUCGUAAAACUCUGUUAUUAGGGAAGAACAAAUGUGUAAGUAACUAUGCACGUCUUGACGGUACCUAAUCAGAAAGCCACGGCUAACUACGUG